rnacentral:rRNA from 1 species
GUGGGGAAUCUUCCGCAAUGGACGAAAGUCUGACGGAGCAACGCCGCGUGAGUGAAGAAGGUUUUCGGAUCGUAAAGCUCUUUCGUUAGGGACGAACGUGCUCUUUGUGAAUAAUGAGGAGUAAUGACGGUACCUAAAUAAGAAGCCACGGCUAACUACGUGCCAGCAGCCGCGGUAAUACGUAGGUGGCAAGCGUUGUCCGGAAUUAUUGGGCGUAAAGCGCGCGCAGGCGGGAUAUCAAGUCUGUCUUAAAAGUGCGAGGCUCAACCUCGUGAGGGGACAGAAACUGGUAUUCUUGAGUGUCGGAGAGGAAAGUGGAAUUCCAGGUGUAGCGGUGAAAUGCGUAGAGAUUUGGAAGAACACCAGUGGCGAAGGCGACUUUCUGGACGAUGUCUGACGCUGAGGCGCGAAAGCUAGGGGAGCGAACGGGAUUAGAUACCCUAGUAGUCC